AGAAUGGUUGCUGGAUCUUAUUGUAAGAGUAGGCUUAGUUUUGUAAGAAACUGCCAAACUGUCUUCCAAAAGUGGCUAUACUAUUUUGCAUUCCCACCAGCAGU
rnacentral:pre_miRNA from 1 species